CUGACACCUCUUUUGGAUCAUCUGCCUGGUUUGUAAUUUAGGUUUUGCUUUUUUGAAGCUGCCUCUCAGAUCAUUCUUAGAGCCAUAGUUCACAUCCCAAGAAUGAAGUUCUUGGUGUCAGCAGUAUUUCCACCAUAGAAUUAGCUGCAGAUGAAGAAAAUGGACACCGUGUGUUAUAACCAUGCUCUCAAGCCCACUUUAUAAUAUGUUCCCUGGUGGGUGAAGUUAUUAUCAAGUACGGACCAUCAUGAGUACUUUUCAGUGGAGAACUAUGACUUCAAAAGCACUAUGUUGAAGAGGUACAACUGAAAUAAAAGCUUAAAAGAAGAUGGAGAUUGGAGAUGGAAGUUUAUCUUCAUCUAUGGAACUGGAAAUACACUAGCUUUG
rnacentral:lncRNA from 1 species